rnacentral:rRNA from 1 species
UACGGAGGGGGCUAGCGUUGUUCGGAAUUACUGGGCGUAAAGCGCACGUAGGCGGUUUGGUAAGUUGGGGGUGAAAUCCCGGGGCUCAACCCCGGAACUGCCUUCAAAACUCCCAGUCUGGAGGUCGAGAGAGGUGAGUGGAAUUCCGAGUGUAGAGGUGAAAUUCGUAGAUAUUCGGAGGAACACCAGUGGCGAAGGCGGCUCACUGGCUCGAUACUGACGCUGAGGUGCGAAAGCGUGGGGAGCAAACAGG